rnacentral:rRNA from 1 species
GACCUCAAAUCAGGUAGGAUUACCCGCUGAACUUAAGCAUAUCAAUAAGCGGAGGAAAAGAAACUAACAAGGAUUCCCCUAGUAACUGCGAGUGAAGCGGGAAAAGCUCAAAUUUAAAAUCUGGUAGUCUUUGGCUGCCCGAGUUGUAAUCUAGAGAAGUGUUAUCCGCGCUGGACCGUGUACAAGUCUCCUGGAAUGGAGCGUCAUAGAGGGUGAGAAUCCCGUCUUUGACACGGACUACCAGGGCUUUGUGAUGCGCUCUCGAAGAGUCGAGUUGUUGGGGAAUGCAGCUCUAAAUGGGUGGUAAAUUCCAUCUAAAGCUAAAUAUUGGCGAGAGACCGAUAGCGAACAAGUACCGUGAGGGAAAGAUGAAAAGAACUUUGGAAAGAGAGUUAAACAGUACGUGAAAUUGUUGAAAGGGAAACGCUUGAAGUCAG